CCGUAAGCGGCACGCGCGUGCCGUGGCGGCCCGUGGUGGCGUUGGCGCGGUGCUCCGCCCUCUCCUGGUGCUCGUCGGCCUUGGCCUGUGCCUUGCCGGCCUUCUCCUCCUGCUUGGCCAUCUCCUUCUCGCCGUGCGUGGCCGCCGUCGCCUGGCCGGCCUUGCCGUGCGCCUUGGCCGUCCCCUCCUUCACCUUCUCCUUGGCACCGCUCACCAUGUCCUGCACCUUCACCUUCGCCG
rnacentral:lncRNA from 1 species